rnacentral:tRNA from 1 species
GGAGGAAUACCCAAGUCUGGUUAAAGGGGCUCGCUUGGAAAGCGUGUAGAUCUUAUUAGAUGCGAGGGUUCGAAUCCCUCUUCCUCCGCCA